rnacentral:rRNA from 1 species
GAUGAACGCUGGCGGCGUGCCUAAUACAUGCAAGUAGAACGCUGAAGGAAGGAGCUUGCUCUUUCCGGAUGAGUUGCGAACGGGUGAGUAACGCGUAGGUAACCUGCCUGGUAGCGGGGGAUAACUAUUGGAAACGAUAGCUAAUACCGCAUAACAGUAGAUGUUGCAUGAUAUCUACUUAAAAGGUGCAAUUGCACCACUACCAGAUGGACCUGCGUUGUAUUAGCUAGUUGGUGAGGUAACGGCUCACCAAGGCGACGAUACAUAGCCGACCUGAGAGGGUGAUCGGCCACACUGGGACUGGGACACGGCCCAGACUCCUACGGGAGGCAGCAGUAGGGAAUCUUCGGCAAUGGACGGAAGUCUGACCGAGCAACGCCGCGUGAGUGAAGAAGGUUUUCGGAUCGUAAAGCUCUGUUGUAAGAGAAGAACGAGUGUGAGAGUGGAAAGUGCACACUGUGACGGUAUCUUACCAGAAAGGGACGGCUAACUACGU